GACGAACGCUGGCGGCGUGCCUAAUACAUGCAAGUCGAGCGAAACGGCGGUUGGGUGAGUAACGCGUGGGUAACCUGCCCUUAAGUCUGGGAUACCAUAUGGAAACAGAUGCUCAUACCGGAUACUACAGGAUGGACCUGCGAUGCAUUAGCUAGUUGGUAAGGUAACGGCUUACCAAGGCGAUGAUGCAUAGCCGGGUUGAGAGAAGGAUCGGCCACAUUGGGACUGAGACACGGCCCAAACUCCUACGGGAGGCAGCAGUAGGGAAUCUUGCACAAUGGACGAAAGUCUGAUGGAGCAACGCCGCGUGAGUGAAGAAGGUUUUCGGAUCGUAAAGCUCUGUUGUUGGGGAAGCGUUAAUCAACCAGAAAGUCACGGCUAACUACGUGCCAGCAGCCGCGGUAAUAC
rnacentral:rRNA from 1 species